AGAGACUUAGGUUAAUUUAGACCAAUAGCCUUCAAAGCCAUUAGUAGAAGUUAAAAUCUUCUAGUCCCUG
rnacentral:tRNA from 1 species